rnacentral:ncRNA from 1 species
UGUCUUCGGGGCAGGGUGAAAUUCCCGACCGGCGGUAUAGUCCGCAAGCGCUUUUGCGCAUGAUUUGGUGAAAUUCCAAAACCGACAGUUACAGUCCGGAUGUGAGAAGACG